rnacentral:lncRNA from 1 species
AUGAAGGCUUCUCUUCCCAAGAACCUUCCUCCUGCACAGUUUCCAGGAGUGUCGGAGGGUGGAAUCGUCCUGUUGCCACAUUUUAAAUGCACUCUCACUUGCUGUGUUGCUGCCUCUUGUGUUGCCAUGGUUUUAAAAGGUUGCGUGUAUUUUUAUCAUCUCAUGACCAUAUCUCAAGCACAUCCCUCGUGUAAAUAUCUCUAUGAUCAGAGUUCUCCCUGGGAGGAUCAAGUGGAUGUGUCCCCAGCCUGGACUGUCAGGGCCUGUCUGAUGGUGUGGUCUGUUGCCUAGGAAGGAGGGGCCAUCUGCCAGGACAGCACCUGAGGGGCGUGGGGAGUGGGGGGGCUCUUUCAGCUGUGCAGGGCUCGAUGAGGAGAUGCCUCCCAGAGAUGGCGGGUUUGGAGAGCUGCAGAGACCGAGCCAAGACUUGGCAGCUGGGAGGCAGCUGGCCAUGCAUGGGGCAUGAGCUGUGGCUCUGGAGUGAGCGAGGAGUGACAAGGCAUGAGGAAGUGCUGGCUGACAGGAAGCAAGUGGAACAGGAAGCGAUCCCCCCAGGACCAAGCCCCUGACCGACCAACUGUCCCUUGACAUUCUCUAUGCCACAGUCUAAGUCUUAACAGGGAUGGACAGGCCCUGGCUGGAGGGCUGAAGAGACUGAGCGCGCCCUGCAACCCUGGAUGAUGGGAACUAGUGUAGACCGAAAGCUUUACCCCAGCAAGAGAGUCUGGGGUGUGAAGACUCUUCUUACUUGGAAUCAGAUGAUGUGGCACAGCUACAAAACAGGAGUCUCCUUUUCCUUCUGAAGAGAAACAAAUAUGUACGAAAAAAACAAGGAAAGAGAAAACCUGGUGUGGCAUUCUGCCAAAUCAUGGCAGAUGUCCCUGUCAGGUUGGCAUCUGCCUUGCAAGAGCUUACUAUAACCAUCAAAAGUCAAGGCUAAUUAUUCAAAAAUCAUCAGACACUUCCCCAAACACCUGACCAGCACUGCUCCAAACCAUCAAGGUCAUCAAACACCAAGUCAGAGAAACUGACUGCCACUGCCAAGAGGAGCCUGGGGAGACAAAAGGAUGGGAUCCUGGAACAGAAGAAGACAUUGAGUAUAAGUGAAGGAAAUCCACAUAAACUGAGGGACUUAGGUUCAUAAUCGUGAUCGAUCCUAGUUCAUUAAUUGGAACAAAUAUCCCAUCUUAAUGGAAGAUGUUUAUUACAGGGGAAAUGGGUUGUGUGAUGCACUGGAACCCUCUGUGCUAUCUUUUAAAUUUUUCUGUAAACCUGAAACUGUUCUAAAAAAAUAAAGGCUAUUAAAAAAAUCAAUUCAAGGGUUGAAAGCACGGACUUGGAAGCCGGGCCACCUGGAGUCCAGUCCCAGGUGCCUCUUCGCCUGGGAAGGAUCACUCACCCCUUUCUGUCGUGCCUCAGUUUCCUUGCUCUGGAAAAUGGGAAUAAUUAUACUACCUCUGAUUGUCCUGGGGACUAAAUGAGUUAAAAUUUGUCAUACUCUGGAAGAGUGCCUGGCCCUGGACAAGGGCUCCAAGUGCUUAUUUAGCCCAAAAAUAAAAGUAAAGAUGAGGGUUCACUCACACGUUCUUUACAACAUGAGGGUACAUACAUUAGCUGAGUUUUAAUUUGUCUAAAAAAAAAAGAGAGAGCAUGCUCAGGGCUUAGUUACUGUCCCAGAAAUCCCGAGAUACUGCCCACUCCUGCCAGCUUGGCCUGAAUGUGGUUCUUCUUUCUCCCAAUGGUUUCCCAUUCUUUGCCAGGUUCUGGAGGGAUGACUCAGCCUGGAAAGCUCCCGUCAGAAGUCACAUCAGCACAGGCAGAUACACCAUCCCCUUGCCUGCCCUACCUUCCCUUCCUCCCCAGGGUAGGUUCCAGCAAUACUCUGAGACACCUGCAACCCCGCCUCCCUCACCCAGACAUGUGGCCCUGACACCUCCAGCUGUCUCUCCUGCCUGCACUGAUGCGUGUCCAGCUCAGAGAGCCUUGAUGAAGAGGGGACAGCACCGCCCAACAGGAAGCUUGGGAAAUGCGUGUGUUCCUCAUCGCUCAGGAAGAACAAUCCUGAACUUUGUCCAAACGGUUGAAAGCUUGAUGCGAGUCAUCUUCCUGUGAGCAUCUGGAAAAAAGCCUGUGUCCAAGCAGACCUGGAAGCACACAUCUGCUGUUUCCUUCAGUCAAGACCUUGAAUUCCUGGAGCUGUUUCCUGCUCCUGCCCCCGACGGCCCCGACUCAUGGCCAUGCUCCCUUGCUGGGGCUGCCAGGUAAAACAGAAGCCAAGCACUGCAGUGUGGCAGUGAUGGAAGAUCUAAAGCUACAGGAUGAAGCCGAAUCUCCCCAAGCUCUUCCUCAGUGGGUUCCUUCACUUUUUUCUUUUUCUUUUCUUUUCUUUUCUUUUUUUUUUUUUUUGUCUUUUUGCCUUUUCUAGGGCCACACCCAUGGCAUAUGGAGGUUCCCAGACUAGGGGUCUAAUUGGAGCUGUAGCCAUUGGCCUACGCCAGAGACACAGCAACGGGGGAUCCAAGCCACGUCUGCGAACUACACCACAGCUCACGGCAACGCCGGAUCCUUAACCCACUGAGCAAGGCCAGGGAUCGAACCUGCAACCUCAUGGUUCCUAGUUGGAUUCAUUAACCACUGAGCUAUGACGGGAACUCCUCCACUUUUUUCUAAAGAGACCUAUUUCUUGUCCAAAAUCCUGAGACAUUGGUAAAGGGGGUCCUUAAUAUGACCCUCGUUUUACAGGUGAGGAAACCAAGUCCUUCUGGAGACAAAGAAGAUUGUAGGCAUGUUUCCUAUUUGGAAAAGGGUUGCAAUUUUUCUUCCAUGUUCUAGCUGGGGUUAGCUCAUUUUCUUUGCUUUUCUUUGCCAGCGCUUGGCAAUGACCUACAUAGACCACAUGCCUAAUAAUAACUUAAGCUUUAUUUUCACCCAACAUUCAAGGGCCUCAGGGGAUUUGGCAAAAAGCAGUAUUUACUAAAUCAUCUGCUUGUUGCAAACAAGCCUUACACCUCUGGGCCAGCCUUUGAAGAGAUGAGGCUGACGGCUGGGAGUAUCUGGCACAGCUGUCGCUUGUCUGACUUUUUUCUUCUUCAUUUUUUAAAUCUCUUAAGACCGUGGCUCACUUGCAAAGGGUUGAUGUUUGAGGUAUGUAACAACUAAUGUGGCUCAGGUAUUGACCAGUCAUAAUAGAUGUUGAUCAGGGAACCCAACCAUCCCUGGUUGGCCAGGCAUUGCCCUGAAGCUGCAGGUUUAGGGGAAGAUCCAGGGAGAUCCAGAGAAAAGGCCUAGAUGGUCAGGGUAGUGGGACAAUGGCAGUACCAAGUGAUAGGGAAAUACUUUAAUAUUUAACCAGCUGACAAUGAGGUCCCACUGUAUAGCAUAGGGAACAUGUCUUGGGAUGGACCAUGAUGGAAGAUAAUACAAGAAAAAGAAUGUGUGUAUAUAUAUGUAUGACUGGGUCACUUUGCUGUAUACCUAAAAUUGACAGAACAUUGUAAAUCAACUAUACUUUAAAAAAUAAAUUUAACCAGCUAUCAACCAUAAAUGCAUAUACAUUUCAAUUCCUGAGAAGUUCAUAUCCCUACAAUUUGCCUUAACAUAGACUUGUAUACAUGAUGGUUAACCAUGGUGGGCCAAGGAUCGGUGAUGUUUGGAUUCAAGACCGUCGAGGAUUUCUUUUUACUGCAUCCUACAUCCCCUUUGGUCCGCUGGAGCUGGAAGAUGAGCCAGGCGCAUGGUUACCUGAAAUCAGGUGUAAGAAGAAGAAGACAGUGGGUGCAAGUCAUAAAUGAUAGUAUGAGAUGAUCACAGCUAGGAAAGCCCAAAAGGGCCGUAAGUCCAAACGACUGUGCAGAGAUGGAACAAAACAGGGCGAAUGUUGGAAAGAUCCUAGGACAAGGGGGUCUAAAACCACUGCCUUGAAAGCUCCAUCACUCGUUGCCAGGGGAAGCUUAGCUGUGGUUAAACAGGUGGGGAAGGGUGGGGCUACUCAAUACUCAACAGCUCUUAGAAACUGACUUGUGAAAAGAUUUCCCCAAGUGUUUGCAACUCACCCAGAAAAGUUGUCCCAGGUACCAAAGCUGAUAAGAAAGACCUGAUAUUUAAAACAAAUUGUAAUUGUAGUAUAGUUGAUUUACAAUGUUGUGUUAAUUUCUGCUAUAUAGCAACAUGACUCAUUAUAUACAUAUAUACAUGAUUUUUUAUAUUUUAUUCCAUUAUACUUUAUUCCAAGAUAGUCAGUAUAGUUCCCCGUGCUAAGCAGUAGGACCCUGUUGUUCAUCCAUUGUAAAUAUAAUAGCUUACAUCUACAAAUCCCAAACUUCCCCAACCUCUCCUCCCCUCUGGCAACUGUUCUCUAUGUCUGUAAGUCUGUUUCUCUUUCAGAGAUAGGUUCAUUUGUGCCAUAUUUUAGAUUUCACAUAUAACUGAUAUCAUAUGAUUUUUGUCUUUCUCUUUCUGGCUUAUUUCACUUAGUGUGAGAAGCUCUAGUUCCAUCCAUGUUGCUGUCAAUGGCAUUGUUUCAUUCUUUUGGGGGGCUGAGUGGUAUUCCAUUGUGUGUAUGUAUCACAUCUUCUUUAUCCAUUCAUCUGUCACUGGAUAUUUCAGUUGUUUCCAUGUCUUGGCUAUUGUGAAUAGCGUUACAGUAAACAUAGGGGUACGUGUAUCUUUUUGAAUUGUAGUUUUGUCUAGAUAUAUGCCCAGGAGUGGGACUGCUAGAUCAUAUGGCAAUUCUAUUUUUAGUUUUCUGAGGUACCUCCAUACUGUUUUCCAUAGUGGCUGUACCAAUGUAUAUUCCCACUAACAGUGUAGGAGGGUUCCCUUUUCUCCACACUCUCUCCAGCAUUGGCUAUUUGCAUUUUUUUGUUUUGUUUUGUUUGUUUGUUUGUUUUUACUUUUUAGGGCCGCACCUGCAGCAUAUGGAAGUUAGGUUAGGGAUGAAUCGGAGCUACAGCCGCUGGCCUGUACCACAGCCAUAGCAACGUAGGAUCCAAGACGUGUCUGAGACCUACAACAAAGAUCAUGGCAACGCUGGAUCCUUAGCACACUGAGCAAGGCCAGGGACCAGACUUGAAUCCUCAUGGAUCUUUGUUAACUACUGAGUUGUGAAGGGAACACCUAUUUGUGGAUUUUUAAAUGAUGGUUGUUCUAACUGUCUGAGGUGGUGCCUUGCCAUAGUUUCAAUUUGCCUCCUGGCCAUCUGAAUGUCUUCUUUGGAGAAAUGUCUAUUUAUGCCUUCUGCCCAUUUUUUGAUUGGGUUGUGGUUUUUUUUUUUUU